AAAAAACAAAAAAUGAAAAAAAACCUACAACCAAAUUUCUUUUGUGUUUGUAUGAUAGCUAAAUCUUUCUCCAAAUGUGUUUUUUAAACUUUCUGGAUUCUUAAGUUUUACAUGUCUCUUACAAUUAACACUUUUAUUUUUUAAUCCAGUUUGAUUUCUUCCCUUCUGAGUUUCCAAUGAACGUAUGUUACAGCUUUUCACUACAGUCCUAUGCGUUGUAUUAUCAUUUCUGAUUUUUCUAUUAUUUUGUUUUUCUACUACAUUCUGGGUACUUUCUCCUGAUCUAUCUUUUGGUUUACAAAUUCUUGCUUUAAUUGUGUCUCAUCUGCUCUUAAACCUUUUUUUUUUUUUUUUUUUUUUUUGGUACCCUUUAAUCUGGAAUAUCCUUUUGAUUUGUUAUUGAGUUUUUGUUGUUGUUGUUCUUGGUUGAAAUUCUUAAUCUUGUUGGAUUUUUUUUUAAUCUCUUUGACCUGAAUAAGAUCAUUAGUUUGAAGUCAGUGUGCAAACUCUAACACCUGUAGCCUCUGUAGGUCUGUUUCUAUUGUCUGCUGUAUCUAUUGAUAUUAGUUCAUGUUAUUUUACUCCUUGUGUGUCUGAUUAUUUUUUAUUAUGUGCCAGAUAUUGGAUCUACAAAAUGUAGAAAUAUAUUUGAGGUCUGAGAUGAUGUUAUAUUUCUCCAGAGAGGAUAUGUUUGUUCCUGCCAGCUGCCUAAGUGCUCAAACACUAAAAUGUCACCUAAAAUCAAUUUCAUGGCUUGAAAGAAUUAAAAGCUAAGCUGUAGUCUCUAGGGGUGCUUACUUCUGAAUUACUCUUUUCCUUAAGGUCCUUCAGAGUUUUAAUCCAGUGUGAGAAGAGUUCAUCCACCAGGACUCCCAUCCCUUGAUGGAAACUGAGCACCAAUCCCUGUCACCUUAGAUCUUUGUGGCUUUCAAAAUCAUAACUCAGCAUGUUGUUCUCUCCGCCUUCUGGUCUUGCUCACAGGGGAAAGCAGGAAGCUCAAUCACACUUAUUUAGUCUGCCAUUACUGGAAAUCUGAUUUAACCUUUAUGACAAUUCUAUAAAACAGAUAUUAUUUCCAUCUUACAGAGAGGAAACAGGUUGAGAAUAAUGAAAGAAUGGGACCAAUACAAAUACAGCUUAUUUUGCUAAUUAGAGUAGGUGGUCUUUGGGUAUUUGAAUACUACCACAUAAGUAGUCACUAGCCGGGCGUGGUGGCGGACGCCUGUAAUCUCAGCUACUCAGGAGGCUGAGGCAGGAGAAUAGAUUGAACCCGGGAGGUGGAGUUUGCAGCGAGCCGAGAUUGUGCCAUUGCACUCCAGCCUGGGUGACAGAGCAAGACUCAGUCUGGGGAAAAAAAAAUCAUGGGGAAAGUCACUCUCACCAAAAAUAUUUCUGUGAUUGACCCUCUCAUGGAGUUUUUAUGAAGUGUGUACAAUAGUUGGGAGCAAAAACAAUUUUGCCACAGUUACUUUGAACAUUUCUAUAAAAGAGAGUCUUAGAGUAAUAUUAUAACAUAGUUGGAAAUAUAGUCAGAAGAGUGGGCUGGAUCCUGGAGUUACGUAACACUUUGCAUCAAAUUGAGAACAUGCUAAAUUUCCACUACAAGGAAUAGGACAAGGACAAUAGACUUUAUCUACGGGGGUUGGGAUGCGGCUGGGAGUUGGGUUGGUUGAGAGAGAAUCCCAGAAAAAAAAAAAAAUCCCAGAAGGCUCACUGAUUUAUCUAGUUUUGUUUGUUGGUUUUCUGGCAGUUACUCUUAUCUUUGACAGUUCUAUCUAUAUUAAGCCCAGAUUUCUCCCUUUCUACUGCAAUUGUUUUAACCAAGUAUUUUCCUUUCUUGUCAGGCUUCCUCUUGGUCCUUUUAUGCCAAUUUCCUCAUAGCGUAGGUUCCAUGAUGAACCAGUGUCUUUAGCAUUCAGCACAAAGCCCAUCAACUCUCACAGUCCUCUGAAAGCAGCAUCAACAUUUAUUUAUUCUUGGGCAUACUUUCUACUUGGGUCAUCAUUUUUUUUUUUUUUUUGUAUUGCUGUGCUAUUCCUUGGGUAUGUUUGAAUGCAUAACUACUCUUUGCUUUCAAGGGGGAGCUCCAAAGGGUGUCUUAAACAACAGUGACCCCAGGUUGAUGGACUAGCCUUAGCAGAAAAAAACAACAGACUUGCUUUUGAGAAUAGGGGUAAAAUGAAACUAAUCUCUUCAAGGAAAAUUACUGUAAAAGUCCUAUAAUUUCUUUUGUUUUUCUUUUUUCUUUCUUUCUUUUCUUUUCUUUCUUCUUCUUUUUUUUUUUUUUUUUUUUUUUUUUUUUUUUUUUUUUUUUUUUUUGAGAUGGAGUUUCUCUCUUGUUGCCCAGGCUGGAGU
rnacentral:lncRNA from 1 species